CACGUAGGGCGCGAGCGUUGUCCGGAAUUAUUGGGCGUAAAGAGCUCGUAGGCGGUCUGUUGCGUCGGCUGUGAAAACCCGGGGCUCAACUCCGGGCCUGCAGCCGAUACGGGCAGACUAGAGUUCGGCAGGGGAGACUGGAAUUCCUGGUGUAGCGGUGAAAUGCGCAGAUAUCAGGAGGAACACCGGUGGCGAAGGCGGGUCUCUGGGCCGAUACUGACGCUGAGGAGCGAAAGCGUGGGGAGCGAACAGG
rnacentral:rRNA from 1 species